rnacentral:rRNA from 1 species
GACGAACGCUGGCGGCGUGCUUAACACAUGCAAGUCGAACGGUAAGGCUCCAGCUUGCUGGGGUACACGAGUGGCGAACGGGUGAGUAACACGUGGGUGACCUGCCCUGCACUUCGGGAUAAGCCUGGGAAACUGGGUCUAAUACCGGAUAGGACCGCACCGUGAGGGUGUGGUGGAAAGUUUUUUCGGUGUGGGAUGGGCCCGCGGCCUAUCAGCUUGUUGGUGGGGUAAUGGCCUACCAAGGCGGCGACGGGUAGCCGGCCUGAGAGGGUGGACGGCCACAUUGGGACUGAGACACGGCCCAGACUCCUACGGGAGGCAGCAGUGGGGAAUAUUGCACAAUGGGCGGAAGCCUGAUGCAGCGACGCCUCGUGGGGGAUGACGGCCUUCGGGUUGUAAACUCCUUUCACCAUCGACGAAGGGUUUCUGACGGUAGAUGGAGAAGAAGCACCGGCUAACUACGUG